rnacentral:rRNA from 1 species
UACGGGGGGAGCAAGCGUUGUUCGGAUUUACUGGGCGUAAAGGGCGCGUAGGCGGUCACUACAAGUCAGUUGUGAAAUCUCUGGGCUUAACUCAGAACGGUCAACUGAUACUGUCGGACUAGAGUGCAGAAGGGGCAACUGGAAUUCCCGGUGUAGUGGUGAAAUGCGUAGAUAUCGGGAGGAACACCAGUGGCGAAGGCGGCUUCCUGGCCUGUUCUUGACGCUGAGGCGCGAAAGCUAGGGUAGCAAACGGG